AUGUACAUGCUCGCAACCUGAUGCAGCAUGCCGCGUGUAUUGAAGAAGGGCCUUUCUGGUCUGUAAAGCACUUUCAUCGGGGAGGAGGGUACUGAGUUAAUACUCUUGGUCACUGACACUUACCCUGACAAAAAAGCACCGCUUAAAAUCUGCCACCCAGCCGGUAUUAUCAAGAACUGCCCCCGGUAAUAUAGAGGGGCCGAUCCCCUGGUUAAAGAACGGGAGUGCUCGGGAGGGGGAAAAUACCACAGUCCCCAACCCAAGAACCUGGCCCCCUAAUAGACCUGGCGCCGCCCCUGGCCACGCGGUCUCCGGGAGGGUACUACGGGGAAACUCCGCAAGUGGAUUCCUCGCUUUAUGUCAUUCGGCUGCUUCGAGCGGGUCAGCUCACUCAUACGCUCUGAUACAUCUAUCCACUGAAUCAGGGGAGGGGGCAGGAAAUAACAUGUGAGCAAGGGGGGAUCAAGGGGGCAAAAACCCUAGAAAGGCCGCGUCCGUGGGGGGGGUUGUUAGGCUCCGCCCCCCUGACGAGCAUCACAACAAGCCACGCUAAGUCACAGCUGGUGAAACCCAAAGGACAAAUCCAGACAAUGGGUUCCCAAUGAAAGCAACAACGCGCGAUCUCCUGUUCCAACAUACCGCUUAUCGUAUGCGUGUCCGCACUUCUACCUUCGACAACCGUGGCCGCUUUCUGCUACCUCACAGGGGUAGGUAUGGCGGCUCGGAGCAGAGAGCUGUGUGCAAGCUGGGCUGUGGGUCUAUCCCCCAUAUCAGCCGAGACGCUGCGCCUGAUGCGGUAACAUCCCUUAAAUCCUUCCAUGAUAUACACUAACUAAACGCCCUCUGGUACCAACAUUUGGAUGCGACUUA
rnacentral:rRNA from 1 species